UUUCUAAUCAUUCUUUUUUGAAAUUGAUAGGAUUUGACAGAAGAUCCACAUGAUAGAUUAGAAAAAAUAAUACCAAAGUAGUUUGUAAGAGUAUCUCCAAUGCAGGGUUCUCUUCUAUAUUUUGAUUAGUUCUCAUCUGAAAUUGGCAAAAAAAAUAAUUCAGAAUUGAAUAAAGAAGAGAGAAUCGAUUCUCUUCGAAGAGUUUGAGAUUUUGAUAGAGGCGGACACGUGCCAGUGUUCGAUUGGAGGAAGUGUUUUAACAAAAGAAAAAAAAAACACUCAUUUUUUUUAGUUUUCUCUCUCGACCAAAAAAAACACUGACUCUCUCUCUCUCGAUCUCGCGAUUGCGAGAAAAAAACAAACUGAUGAACAAACGCCGAUUUCGUGAGAUUCCUCGUUUGGAAGAAGCUCAGUAACUCUUCAAAGUGACAACUACAUCAUUCCAUCAAAGUGAUUAUAUAGCAACCAAAAUUGGUUUGUUGAUUUUUACUCUAGUCUGUUUUCUUUGAAAACUUCUAUUCAUUGACAAAUCAACAUUUGAUAUACAAAAAUCCGAAUCUCAGUUUUGAAACCAUACGAAAACUUAAACCAUGACUUAAACAUGUCUCCAUAUGUAAUUUAAGUUUACAUCAACCACAAAACCAUGACUUGAAUCCAUAUCUUCUUUUUCUCCA